GAGGAGCGGAGUACGUGAGCCAGUGCUAUGUGGAAGACUUGUGAUUUUGUUGUUCUGAUAUGAUAUGACAACAAGUCACAGCCAGCCUCAUAGCGUGGACUCCUAUCACCUUUCUCCUGA
rnacentral:pre_miRNA from 7 species